rnacentral:rRNA from 1 species
UACGGGGGGGGCAAGCGUUGUUCGGAAUUACUGGGCGUAAAGGGCGCGUAGGCGGCGCCACAAGUCACUUGUGAAACUCUGGGCUCAACUCAGAGCCUGCAGCGAAACUGUGGUGCUGGAGUAUGGGAGAGGUGCGGUGGAAUUCCCGGUGUAGCGGUAGAAAUGCGUAGAUAUCGGAGGAACACCAGCGGCGAAGGCGGCGAUCUGGGCCUGUACUGACACUGAGGAGCGAAAGGCGUGGGGAGCCGAACACGG